GUAGAAAAUCCAAACUUUACUUCACUCUGUUUCUUAAUUUGGCCUCUUGAUUGUGAAAUCUUUGUUGCUUUUUUUUUUCAAAUGCAGUAUUAUUUCGAGGACAGAUUCGACCUGGUGAAGUUCGUCAAGGUGGUUCAACAAGCAGGCCUCUACGUUAAUCUCCGAAUCGGCCCUUACGCUUGUGCUGAAUGGAACUUUGGGUAUCCUUUUAAAGUGAUCCCUUGCUCUGUUUCCUUCUCUCUGUAUUUUUUAUGGGUUUUGAACAAUGCUCUGUUUUUUGGCCAUGGAUGCAGAGGAUUCCCUGUUUGGCUAAAGUAUGUCCCUGGAAUGUCUUUCAGAACUGACAAUGAACCGUUCAAGGUAAAAUUAUGCGUUUCCUUGGAUCCUGGUUGAUUCUUUUCAAAAAAGCUUGACGGAUUUACAAUGUGUUUUUUUUUUUACUUUUGAUAUGAAAGGCGGCUAUGCAAAAGUUCACUGAGAAAAUCGUCAACAUGAUGAAGCAAGAACAGCUCUUUGAACCACAGGGAGGCCCAAUUAUUCUUUCCCAGGUUUGAAAGUCAAUUUCUUUUCCCACAUUUUGAUCAGAUUUUAAAAAAAAUACUAGUAAUAUAAUGAAAUCAGCUUAAACCCAACUACCCAAGUCGCUAUCACGAAUCCAGAAACUGAAAUCAGCCUAAACCCAAGUCUCUAUCACGAUUUUUUUUGAUUCGGUUAAAAAAAAUUGCAGAUAGAGAACGAGUACGGGCCGAUAGAAUGGGAGCUGAAAGCACCGGGGAAAGCAUACGCACAGUGGGCAGCUCAGAUGGCGGUGGGACUCAACACAGGAGUUCCAUGGAUUGCGUGCAAGCAAGAGGAUGCCCCUGACCCUCUGGUGAUUUCCUCAAGUUCCAAUUUUUAUUUCUUUCUAUCUGGUUUUGGUGAGUUCUUUCUGUUGAUGUCUUCAUCCAGUAGAGAGAAGAGUAUUCUUUUUUUGGGUAGUUUGGCGUGUAUUUAUAUCUUCAUCCAGUAGAGAGAAGAGUUUUCUUCUUUGCGGCAUUUCUUCGAACAGUUGGUGUGUCUACUUUAUGGUGGCGCCCAUAUCUAGCAUAUCUUUAAUGUUUCUGUUGCGAUGGUUGAUGGGUCAUUUUCUUUGAUGCAUGUCACGAAAUGUGGACUCGGAUUUUCUGGUGUGGAGAUUGAAAGCUCCCUUUCUUGUUUCUGUGUUUUUAUUUGAUGUUUGUGCAGAUAGACACCUGCAACGCUUAUUACUGCGAGAAAUUCACACCGAACAAGUCCUAUAAGCCGAAAAUGUGGACUGAAGCUUGGACCGCUUGGUAAAGUCAUACUGAAGAAUCUUACACACUUCCGAGUGAUCGAAUUUGACGAUGCUAAUUUGGCUUCUCACAGGUUCACAUCAUGGGGGAACCCAGUGCUAUACAGACCAGCAGAGGAUCAGGCAUUUUCGGUUCUCAAGUUCAUCCAGAGUGGUGGUUCGUACGCGAAUUAUUACAUGGUAAGUCUCGAACUUUAAUGCUGCAAGACAUGUCAGUAUUUCCUCGUGGAUGUUAGAUUGCGAAUGUUAUCUUGAUGUCGAUUUUAUUGAGUUGUAUCUCAGUAUCAUGGUGGAACGAACCCUCCAGUCAAGGAUUCUCCUUUCUCUAUUUUUUUUUCUUUCUAUUAUGGCACCCUCUCGCUAGCUAGCUAAUUGGACCAUCUGGUGCUUGCAUUUAUUAUUCAUUGAAACUUACGCCAAGCCACUGGCUUAAGCAGCAGACCAACCACAGUCAGAAAAGAAUAGUUAUUGCGACAUUUCCAUUCUUCUGUAAUGUUGAGCCACAGCAGCCUGGCUCUGUUUUCAUUACUUCUGUUGCUAUGUUCUUCUUCUUCUCUCUGGGUUUCUCCAGUCACAGCUGCCGUCACUUACGACGGAAAAGCUAUCGUCGUCAAUGGGCAGCGUAGGAUUCUCAUCGCUGGCUCUAUUCACUACCCCAGAAGUACCCCUGAGGUCUAGUUUUUACAUUUCUCCUCCAUUCCAUUCUCCCCAUUGUGACUCUGUUUUUACAUUUAUCUGUUUCAUUUGUAAAUGCAGAUGUGGCCUGAUCUGAUACAGAAGGCCAAAGAUGGAGGCCUGGAUGUUAUUCAGACUUACGUUUUCUGGAAUGGCCACGAGCCUUCUCCUGGGAAUGUAAGAAAACCAAACUUUACUUUACUUCACUCCUCUCUUUCUUGUUUUGGCCUCCCCUGUAAAGGAGAUGUAACUGAUUUUUAAUCUUUGUUUUCGGAAAUGCAGUAUUAUUUCGAGGAUAGGUUCGACCUGGUGAAGUUCGUGAAGGUGGUUCAGCAAGCAGGCCUAUACGUUAAUCUCCGAAUCGGUCCUUACGCUUGUGCAGAAUGGAACUUUGGGUAUAUUUUAAAGCGAUCCCUUGCUCUGUUUUCCUUCUCUCUGCAUUAUUUUUAUGGGUUUUGAACCAUGCUCUGUUUUUUUCCGUGGAUGCAGAG
rnacentral:lncRNA from 1 species